rnacentral:rRNA from 1 species
GUGAGGAAUAUUGGACAAUGGCCGGAAGGCUGAUCCAGCCAUGCCGCGUGCAGGAAGACGGUCCUAUGGAUUGUAAACUGCUUUUGUACGAGAGCAAUAAGGUGUACGUGUACACCGAUGAGAGUAUCGUACGAAUAAGCAUCGGCUAACUCCGUGCCAGCAGCCGCGGUAAUACGGAGGAUGCGAGCGUUAUCCGGAUUUAUUGGGUUUAAAGGGUGCGUAGGCGGCCGAUCAAGUCAGCGGUGAAAUGCAAGGGCCUAACCCUUGACGUGCCGUUGAAACUGAAUGGCUAGAAUGCGGAUGCUGUGGGAGGAAUGUGUAGUGUAGCGGUGAAAUGCAUAGAUAUUACACAGAACACCGAUUGCGAAGGCAUCUCACAAAUCCGCUAUUGACGCUGAGGCACGAAAGUGCGGGGAUCAAACAGG